UGGGAUGUUCGUAAAAGAUCGGAGAAC
rnacentral:sRNA from 1 species